rnacentral:rRNA from 1 species
AGUGAACGCUGGCGGUAGGCCUAACACAUGCAAGUCGAACGGCAGCACAGUAAGAGCUUGCUCUUACGGGUGGCGAGUGGCGGACGGGUGAGGAAUACAUCGGAAUCUACUUUUUCGUGGGGGAUAACGUAGGGAAACUUACGCUAAUACCGCAUACGCCCUACGGGUGAAAGCAGGGGAUCUUCGGACCUUGCGCGAAUGAAUGAGCCGAUGUCGGAUUAGCUAGUUGGCGGGGUAAAGGCCCACCAAGGCGACGAUCCGUAGCUGGUCUGAGAGGAUGAUCAGCCACACUGGAACUUAGACACGGUCCAGACUCCUACGGGAGGCAGCAGUGGGGAAUAUUGGACAAUGGGCGCAAGCCUUAUCCAGCCAUACCGCGUGGGUGAAGAAGGCCUUCGGGUUGGAAAGCCCUUUUGUUGGGAAAGAAAAGCAGCAGGUUAAUACCCCGCUGUUCUGACGGUACCCAAAGAAUAAGCACCGGCUAACUUCGUG